CCUACGGGUUGCAGCAGUGGGGAAUAUUGCACAAUGGGCGCAAGCCUGAUGCAGCCAUGCCGCGUGUGUGAAGAAGGCCUUCGGGUUGUAAAGCACUUUCAGCGAGGAGGAAGGUGGUGAACUUAAUACGUUCGUCAAUUGACGUUACUCGCAGAAGAAGCACCGGCUAACUCCGUGCCAGCAGCCGCGGUAAUACGGAGGGUGCAAGCGUUAAUCGGAAUUACUGGGCGUAAAGCGCACGCAGGCGGUUUGUUAAGUCAGAUGUGAAAUCCCCGGGCUCAACCUGGGAACUGCAUUUGAAACUGGCAAGCUAGAGUCUCGUAGAGGGGGGUAGAAUUCCAGGUGUAGCGGUGAAAUGCGUAGAGAUCUGGAGGAAUACCGGUGGCGAAGGCGGCCCCUGGACGAAGACUGACGCUCAGGUGCGAAAGCGUGGGGAGCAAACAGGAUUAGAUACCCGAGUAGUC
rnacentral:rRNA from 1 species